rnacentral:rRNA from 1 species
CAAGUCGAACGGCAGCACAGAGGAGCUUGCUCCUUGGGUGGCGAGUGGCGGACGGGUGAGUAAAGCAUCGGGAUCUACCCUGACGGUGGGGGAUAACCUCGGGAAACCGGGACUAAUACCGCAUACGUCCUACGGGAGAAAGCGGGGGACCUUCGGGCCUCGCGCGGCAGGACGAACCGAUGUGCGAUUAGCUAGUUGGCGGGGUAAUGGCCCACCAAGGCGACGAUCGCUAGCUGGUCUGAGAGGAUGAUCAGCCACACUGGGACUGAGACACGGCCCAGACUCCUACGGGAGGCAGCAGUGGGGAAUAUUGGACAAUGGGCGAAAGCCUGAUCCAGCAAUGCCGCGUGUGUGAAGAAGGCCCUCGGGUUGUAAAGCACUUUUAUCAGGAACGAAAUACCACAGGUUAAUACCUUGUGGGGCUGACGGUACCUGAGGAAUAAGCACCGGCUAACUUCGUGCCAGCAGCCGCGGUAAUACGAAGGGUGCAAGCGUUAAUCGGAAUUACUGGGCGUAAAGGGUGCGUAGGCGGUUGUUUAAGUCUGUCGUGAAAUCCCCGGGCUCAACCUGGGAAUGGCGAUGGAUACUGGGCAGCUAGAGUGUGUCAGAGGAUGGUGGAAUUCCCGGUGUAGCGGUGAAAUGCGUAGAGAUCGGGAGGAACAUCAGUGGCGAAGGCGGCCAUCUGGGACAACACUGACGCUGAAUCACGAAAGCGUGGGGAGCAAACAGGAUUAGAUACCCUGGUAGUCCACGCCCUAAACGAUGCGAACUGGAUGUUGGUCUCAACUCGGAGAUCAGUGUCGAAGCUAACGCGUUAAGUUCGCCGCCUGGGGAGUACGGUCGCAAGACUGAAACUCAAAGGAAUUGACGGGGGCCCGCACAAGCGGUGGA